CGGUAAUUCCAGCUCCAAUAGCGUAUACUAAAGUUGUUGCAGUUAAAAAGCUCGUAGUUGGAUUUCUGCGGGGACGGAGCGGCCGGUCGCAACUUGCGACUCGAGCUAGCGCUUUCCCCGCAUCCUGCCGCGAACCGUGCUACCAUUAGUUUGGCGGCGCUGGGGAUCGGCUCGAUUACUUUGAGAAAAAUAGAGUGUUCAAAGCAGGCCACACGCCUUGAAUAGGUUAGCAUGGAAUGAUGACUAAGGACUUUGGUUCUUUUCGUUGGUGUUCGGGACUGAAGUAAUGAUUGAUAGGGACAGUUGGGGCGGUCCGUAUUCCAAAGCGAGAGGUGAAAUUCUUAGACCUUCGGAAGACGGACAGCUGCGAAAGCGUUCCGCAAGGAUGUUCCCUUUGAUCAAGAACGAAAGCUGGGGGAUCGAAGACGAUCAGAUACCGUCGUAGUCUCAACUAUAAACUAUACCAGCUAGGGAUCGGCCAACGUUUAAUUAUUCGACUUGGUCGGCACCUUAUGGGAAAUCAAAGCAUCUGGGUUCCGGGGGGAGUAUGGUCGCAAGGCUGAAACUUAAAGGAAUUGACGGAAGGGCACCACCAGCCGUGGAGCCUGUGGCUUAAUUUGACUCAACACGGGAAAACUUACCAGGUCCGGACAUAGUAAGGAUUGACAGAUUGAUAGCUCUUUCUUGAUUAUGUGGGUGGUGGUGCAUGGCCGUUUUUAGUAGGUGGAUGUGAUCUGUCUGCUUAAUUGCGUUAACGGACGAGACCCCAGCCUGCUAAAUAGCGCGGCCGUGCUUUGCUCGGUGCGAGCUUCUUAGAGGGACCAUGAUGCGCGAUAGCACAAGGAAGUUUGGGGCAACAACAGGUCUGUGAUGCCCUUAGAUGUUCUGGGCCGCACACGGGCUACACUGGCGCCUGCAACGAGCAUAUCAGCUGGCCCGAGAGGGUCUUGGCUAAUCUUUGGAACCGGCGCCGUGCUUGGGAUUGACCAUUGCAAUUGUUGGUCAUGCAACGAGGAAUGCCUUGUAAUCGCGAGUCAUCAGCUCGCAUUGAAUACGUCCCUGCCCUUUGUACACACCGCCCGUCGCUCCUACCGAUGAAUGUUCCGAUGAAAUUUUCGGAGAGCGCCGGAGAACGGGGCUCCGCCCUGCAGAACUGGAGGCUCAAAGUCACUUAAAUCUGAACAUUUCGAGGAAGGAGAAGUCGUAACAAGGUAGCCG
rnacentral:rRNA from 1 species